UAAACGAAAGCCAAUUGGCACCUAUCUGUUAAGUAGGCCCCUGUUAACUAUUAACUCGUUUAA
rnacentral:tRNA from 1 species